CAAGAGCACCCUCACGUCUCUCACUACAGAGCCUGCCAGAUGAACAUCUGAGGUCACUCUACCAACCAAUAAUGAGAGCUGCAAUCCCAACUCUUCCCUGGCUGCUAUUCCGGAUCCAUGACACCACUUCCUUCCUCUACAGCCACAGCAGACAGCUCAUGGCAGCUCUCCACUGGAUGACAUCUGGGAUCAGUGGUACCACUUCCUGUUUCCAUAUUCACAUCAGCAGCAGCUCAGCAACUAUAGCUUCUUCUCGAGGCAUGGAGAGGAAAAAUAAGCCAUGUUCAAACAAGAAUCAGUGCUCAGAAUAGCCAGUUCCCAGAGUUCUCUCUGAAGGUCACCCAUCAGUCCCAGACAAACCAAGAUGGCUGCUGUCCUCACAAGGGAUGCUACAGUGCCACCCAUGUGUGCACACUGCACACUGACUACAUUUGGAACUGGAGGGACAGACCUGCUGGACUUUCUAACUGCAGUUGUCACCUUCACAUCUUCGUGCCAAAAUAACCCGAGGUGAUCAAAGUCAAAAGUGGUGUGUUAUUGUUGGCUCUCCAUUUCAGAGUUUUCAGUCCAUGGUUGCUUGGUCUGGUUGCCUUGGGCUUAUAGGGAAAUAGUUCCUCUUGGUGAGAGCACAUGGUCAAGAGGACUAUUCAUUCAUUGUAUGGUGAGCAGAACGUAAAGAAGCAAAAGAG